UAACCAGUCAAACAUUUCGCAUCCCCAUGCUAGGCUAAAGACAACAAUACUCAGAGGUUACCAUUCAAGAACCACUAUUUAUUGCAAAAAUUCCAACACUUAUAUUAUGCACUCGUCAUUUGAGAUAGAGCAAGGCAUGCGCUUAGGAGCACUAAGAGUUGAAAUAUGGGAAAAAUUAUAUGCACACUAAUAUUAUUAUAUAAAACAAUUGUUCAUAUUAUCUAAUUUCAGGCUACGUGCAGGGACUCACAAACUAAGUUUUGAAUCUCUGCACAUUGUACAAGUUUCCGGGAGGCCCUGGCACAAGCUCCCGUCAAGGCCCCACCAGCAUAUGCACCACCUGCUGAGGAAAGACCUUCAAAAUCCAAACUUGUAGCGGCACAUAAGGCACGCUCUGCAAAGCACUGAAGAGCAUAGUCUACAUGUGUUUGAGCCAAGCAGUAUCGCAAACACAAAGGACAUGCUGUGGGACUGCUGUUUUGGCUGCAGGGACUUGUGGCACAAAUUGAGUCUCAAACCUUCACAUUAUGAUCCUGCAAGUGCUGUUUUCGACCGACAUAGCCAUUCCGAGGAUGGAUACUGCAAGGAAACUUCCACUGGCUAAAGAGGCGCACACAGGAAUGCUGACACACGUGAUGUUUGCAGGGGCCGAUUCAGUGCUGUGAACAAGCUGUGCUCCACUGCAAAGGCUGCAUGUAUGAGCAAAUGCACACAGCUGAUACCCUUGCCGAGGGGGGUACGCACGUACAAACACUGCGAGUGCUGUUUUCGACCAACACAGUCGUGCUGAGAUGGAUAAUGCAUGGAAGCUUCUUCCACUGGCUGUAGAGGCACGCACAGGAAUGCUGACAAACGUGAUGUUUGCAGCGGCAGAUUCAGUGCUGUGAACAAGCUGGGCUCCACUGCAAAGGCGGCAUGGACGAGCAAAUGCACACAGUCGAUACCCCUGCCGAGGGGGGUACGCACGUACAAACACUGCGAGUGCUGUGUUCGACCAACACAGUCGUGCUGAGAUGGAUACUGCAAGGAAGCAUCUUCCACUGGCUGAAGAGGCACGCACAGGAAUGCUGACACACGUGAUGUUUGCAGGGGUAGAUUCAGUGCUGUGAACAAGCUGGGCUCCACUGCAAAGGUGGCAUGGACGAGCAAAUGCACACAGCCGAUACCCUUGCCGAGGGCGGUACGCACGUACAAACACUGCGAGUGCUGUUUUCGACCGACACAGUCAUGCUGGAUUGGAUACUGCAUGGAAGCUUCUUCCACUGGCUGAAGAGGCACGCACAGGAAUGCUGACACACGUGAUGUUUGCAGGGGCAGAUUAAGUGCUGUGAACAAGCUGGGCUCCACUGCAAAGGUGGCAUGGACGAGCAAAUGCACAUAGUCGAUACCCCUGCCGAGGGGGGUACGCACGUACACUGCGAGUGCUGUUUUCGACCGACACAGUCGUGCUGAGAUGGAUACUGCAAGGAAGCUUCUUCCACUGGCUGAAGAGGCACGCACAGGAAUGCUGACACACGUGAUGUUUGCAGGGGUAGAUUCAGUGCUGUGAACAAGCUGGGCUCCACUGCAAAGGUGGCAUGGACGAGCAAAUGCACACAGCCGAUACCCUUGCCGAGGGCGGUACGCACGUACAAACACUGCGAGUGCUGUUUUCCACCGACACAGUCAUGCUGGAUUGGAUACUGCAUGGAAGCUUCUUCCACUGGCUGAAGAGGCACGCACAGGAAUGCUGACUCACGUGAUGUUUGCAGGGGCAGAUUCAGUGCUGUGAUCAAGCUGGGCUCCACUGCAAAGGCGGCAUGGACGAGCAAAUGCACACAGCUGAUACCCUUGCCGAGGGCGGUACGCACGUACAAACACUGCGAGUGCUGUUUUCGACCGACACAGUCAUGCUGAGAUGGAUACUGCAAGGAAGCUUCUUCCACUGGCUGAAGAGGCACGCACAGGAAUGCUGACACACGUGAUGUUUGCAGGGGCAGAUUCAGUGCUGUGAACAAGCUGGGCUCCACUGCAAAGGUGGCAUGGACGAGCAAAUGCACAUAGUCGAUACCCCUGCCGAGGGGGGUACGCACGUACAGUGCGAGUGCUGUUUUCGACCGACACAGUCGUGCUGAGAUGGAUACUGCAAGGAAGCUUCUUCCACUGGCUGAAGAGGCACGCACAGGAAUGCUGACACACGUGAUGUUUGCAGGGGCAGAUUCAGUGCUGUGAACAAGCUGGGCUCCACUGCAAAGGUGGCAUGGAUGAGCAAAUGCACACAGCUGAUACCCUUGCCGAGGGCGGUACGCACGUACAAACACUGCGAGUGCUGUUUUCAACCGACACAGUCGUGCUGAGAUGGAUACUGCAAGGAAGCUUCAUGUUAUAUUGGGAGACGCUUAAAGCUAAUUGA